AAAAAAAAUCGGGCUGCUUAUAUAAUUAUAAACCCUUACAAAACUUUGGUGCUCAUCCGCCACUUUUUGGCUUUGCUUUUCUCUCUCAUCUCUAAUUUCUCCUUCUUCGUUUUUUUUUUUUCAGUUCUCUUGUUCAAAUAAAAAGAUCAGAGAGGAGCUAUCCAUCUUCUUCCUCUUCAAUUUUCAGAAACUAAACUAGAAUAUAUACUAGAUAGAGAGAAAAAUAAUCCAAAAAUCAUUAUUUGCCCUCAUCUCUGUCCUUCUUCCCCUUCCUCUCUCUGUUCUUUGUUGUUCUUGCUCUUCUCAACAACCAUCGACACCAAGACAACAAUCAUCAUCGCCGCCGAUAAUUAUUCAAACCAUGCAAACAUCAGCCACCACUGCCCUCCGUUGGUAAUCAAGAUUUGAGGUUGGACAUUUCUGAUUUUUUUCAGUUUCAAGUUCGUGAUUAAGCUAAGGUUGAAGUCGGAGUUUCUGGGUUUAAAUUUACAGCUUUAAUGAUUGUAAAUUGUAAAUAACAAUUGAAUUGAUUGUAAAAUUACAAAUUCAACGAUUUUUCUGUUUUUUUUUUAAUAAAUUGUAAAAUAAAUUCAGCGAUAUUUAUAUGUGAUUGUAUAUUACGGUUUUGGUGCUUU